CUAUAUCAGUCUAAUUAUACAUUCAGCAACAAUUCACACGACAUUAGUGAAUGAAAUAUCCAAAAUACGAAUCAGUGGAACAGUUAAAUCAACUUAAGCUUCAAAUCCUCAUGUAUAUUCAGGCUCAAUGUUUCCUGCUUACAAAUUUGCAAGGUUACAGCCGUGUACCUGGGAAUCAGUUUACAGCAGAUGAAGAAGGAGUCAGCAAUAGUUAGCGCAUGUAACAGUAGAGCAGCAAUCACCAGCAACAAAUAGGACCAAUUCAGGGGUAAACCAAAUCAGAAUAUCCAGGAAGAAAGAGAAUCAAUCCAAAACCAUACUGAACUUAAUCGAAAUUGGACUGGGAGAAUUAUAAAUCACCUUGAGUCACGAGAUUUAACCUACAAUCAGCUCAAACCCAUUCACACAGACUCGAAACUGAAACCAAGUGAUCCAAUACCCCUACAGCUACUAGAAAUGUGCAGUGAUGAUUUGACUAAGCCUCAAAACUACUUUCAAUGGCCAUGAAUAUGAAGAUUACCCAAGGAAGCAAUUGAACAGUAAACUGCUUUUUUGUUUUUUUGUUUGUUUUCUAUUGUUGUUAGAUUUUUGAAUAUUUUAGAGUUUUGAUCUCAAGUUUCAGAUAUGAAACUUGUAGAGAAUGGGAGGGAAUUUUGUGAGGCUCCAAAACUUGUUAGUGAAGAAAAGGUCAUGCCCUUUUAUAAGCACAAUCAAAUUUUCAGUUUUUCUUUUAGU
rnacentral:lncRNA from 1 species